UACGAAGGGGGCUAGCGUUGCUCGGAAUCACUGGGCGUAAAGGGUGCGUAGGCGGGUUUUUAAGUCAGGGGUGAAAUCCUGGAGCUCAACUCCAGAACUGCCUUUGAUACUGAAGAUCUUGAGUCCGGGAGAGGUGAGUGGAACUGCGAGUGUAGAGGUGAAAUUCGUAGAUAUUCGGAAGAACACCAGUGGCGAAGGCGGCUCACUGGCCCAAUACUGACGCUGAGGUGCGAAAGCGUGGGGAGCAAACAGG
rnacentral:rRNA from 1 species